UACGUAGGGGGCGAGCGUUGUCCGGAUUCAUUGGGCGUAAAGCGCGCGUAGGCGGCUUCGUAAGUCGGCCGUGAAAUCUCCAGGCUUAACCUGGAGGGGUCGGGCGAGACUGCGGAGCUCGAGGUGGGCAGAGGGCAGUGGAAUUCCGGGUGUAGUGGUGGAAUGCGUAGAGAUCCGGAGGAACACCAGUGGCGAAGGCGGCUGCCUGGGCCUGGCCUGACGCUGAGGCGCGAAAGCGUGGGGAGCGAACAGG
rnacentral:rRNA from 1 species